rnacentral:rRNA from 1 species
GAUCAUGCCUCAGGAUGAACGCUAGCUACAGGCUUAACACAUGCAAGUCGAGGGGCAGCAUGGUCUUAGCUUGCUAAGGCCGAUGGCGACCGGCGCACGGGUGAGUAACACGUAUCCAACCUGCCGUCUACUCUUGGACAGCCUUCUGAAAGGAAGAUUAAUACAAGAUGGCAACAUGAGUCCGCAUGUUCACAUGAUUAAAGGUAUUCCGGUAGACGAUGGGG